rnacentral:rRNA from 1 species
AGAGUUUGAUCAUGGCUCAGGACGAACGCUGGCGGCGUGCUUAACACAUGCAAGUCACGGGGGUCCGGGGGCAACUCCGGAUAACCGGCGAACGGGUGCGUAACACGUGAACAACCUGCCCUCGUGUGGGGGAUAGCCAUGCUAACGCGUGGGUAAUACCGCAUACGUUCCUCUGGGGGAGUCCUUGGGGGAGGAAAGCUCCGGCGCACGGGGAGGGGUUCGCGGCCUAUCAGCUCGUUGGCGGGGUAACGGCCCACCAAGGCGACGACGGGUAGCUGGUCUGAGAGGACGAUCAGCCACACUGGGACUGAGACACGGCCCAGACUCCUACGGGAGGCAGCAGUGGGGAAUAUUGCGCAAUGGGCGAAAGCCUGACGCAGCAACGCCGCGUGGGGGAUGAAUGCCUUCGGGUUGUAAACCCCUUUCAGCAGGGACGAAACUGACGGUACCUGCAGAAGAAGCCCCGGCCAACUACGUGCCAGCAGCGGCGGUAAUAC